GCGGGAAUAGCUCAGUUGGUAGAGCACGACCUUGCCAAGGUCGGGGUCGCGAGUUCGAAUCUCGUUUCCCGCUCC
rnacentral:tRNA from 1 species